rnacentral:rRNA from 1 species
CCUACGGGUGGCAGCAGUGGGGAAUAUUGGACAAUGGGGGCAACCCUGAUCCAGCCAUGCCGCGUGUGUGAAGAAGGCCCUCGGGUUGUCAAGCACUUUCAGUGAGGAAGAACGCCUGGUGGUUAAUACCCAUCAGGAAAGACAUCACUCACAGAAGAAGCACCGGCUAACUCCGUGCCAGCAGCCGCGGUAAUACGGAGGGUGCGAGCGUUAAUCGGAAUUACUGGGCGUAAAGCGCGCGUAGGUGGCUUGAUAAGCCGGUUGUGAAAGCCCCGGGCUCAACCUGGGAACGGCAUCCGGAACUGUCAAGCUAGAGUGCAGGAGAGGAAGGUAGAAUUCCCGGUGUAGCGGUGAAAUGCGUAGAGAUCGGGAGGAAUACCAGUGGCGAAGGCGGCCUUCUGGACUGACACUGACACUGAGGUGCGAAAGCGUGGGUAGCAAACAGGAUUAGAUACCCUAGUAGUC